UACGGAGGGGGCAAGCGUUGUCCGGAAUCAUUGGGCGUAAAGCGCGUGUAGGCGGUUCGAUAAGUCUGCUGUGAAAGUCCAGGACUCAACCCUGGGAUGCCGGUGGAUACUGUCGGGCUAGAGUACGGAAGAGGCGAGUGGAAUUCCCGGUGUAGCGGUGAAAUGCGCAGAUAUCGGGAGGAACACCAAUUGCGAAGGCAGCUCGCUGGGACGUCACUGACGCUGAGACGCGAAAGCGUGGGGAGCAAACAGG
rnacentral:rRNA from 1 species